rnacentral:lncRNA from 1 species
GAAUCUCCUCUUUUGCCUUGGACCUGCUUGCAUGGGGAAUUGUGACAGAUUACUGGGCCCAUCACCUAGUAGAUGUUACUGUCUAUUUUUUACCUGGAUCCUGCCUACAGAAAGGAUUGUGACAAAUCAGUGGGCCAAGCAUCCCGGUGACGUGGCUCUUCUGUCUUAGCAAUUCCUAUAGUUGGAAUAGUGACAUAAACCUGGGUCAAGCAUCUGGGUAAUGUAACUCUUCUUUCUGGACACUUUUCUCAGAGAACAUUGUGAUAUAUCUUUGUGCCCAUCACCUAGGUCAUGUGACUCUCCUUUUUUUCCUGGGCUCUGUCCACAGGGUAAUUUGUGACAUACUGCUGGACCCAGCACCCAGGUCAUUUGACUCUCCUGCCUUGGCCCUUCCCACAGAGGGCAUUGUGACAUUGAGUGGGCUCAGCAGCUAGGUGAUACGACUUUCCUGCCAGGACUCUUCCAACAGAAGGGACAUUGACCUACUCAGGCUCAGUAUUCAGGUGAUGUGGCUUUCCUUCCUAGUCCCUGCUUGCAGGUGGUAUUGUGACAUAUAAUUGGGUCCAGUUCAUAGGCAUGCUGAUGACUAUCAUACAUGGACACAACCAAUAGAAGAGAUUUUGACUCUUUUAGCUGGAUUUAUGACAAUGUAUAAUGUCUUCAGCCUCCUGCUUCCGCCAAUAGAUGAAAAAAGAUUCAAGGAAGACACAUUUGCUUUUUAUUCACUCAUCACUUCCCAUCACUAUGCUGACCAGAGUCAAUGUGAGCAGAGUUGAGAAUAGCAGUUUUCUGGCAGGAGAGCCACUUCUCAGCAAAAAAUGACACACUCAAAGUAUAAAUCUUUCAUGGAAGGCUCACAUAUUUUCAGCAAAUUAAGCAUAUGCAUGAAUAAAAUUCUUGUGGUGAAAUAAAGAUUCAUUUUAUUGAUUCCUAUUGAGCUCAGGUAAUAUUGGAUGAAAAGCAAAAAAAUUAUUUGAAAUAGAAAUAUUGUGAAUAAAG